UUUUUUUUUUUUUUUUUUUGUCUUUUUGCCUUUUCUUGAGCUGCUCCUGUGGCAUAUGGAAGUUCCCAGGAUAGGGGUCUAAUCAGAGCUAUAACCACUGGCCUACACCAGAGCCACAGCAAUGCAGGAUCCAGGCCACGUCUGCAACCCACACCAUAGCUCACAGCAACGCUGGAUCUUUAACCCACUGAGCAAAGACAGGGAUUGAACCCGCAACCUCAUGGUUCCUAGUCGGAUUCGUUAACCACUGCACCAAGACGGGAACUCCAAGAUGAUACUUUCUUAACAAACUAUUAGCAAACUAAAGUAAGAAACUUAGAAAAGUGACCAUAAACCAUGAUCAAGUGUAAUUUAAUCUAAAUACUAAAGAUUUCUUAGCAAUGUAAAACUAUUAAUCUAAUACAUUUAUUAAUAUACAAAAAGAUAUGUGCAUGUUUCUAUCAACAGACACAGGAAAAAAAUAUCAUUUAACAAAAUGAAUUUAUGUAAAAAUUCAGCAAGCUAGGAACAGAAAUAAAUAUCCUCAAUCUGACAUAGAACUUGAGAAACAGGAAACGGCAUAUUUAAUUGAAAUGACUGAGGCAUUUCCCUCUAAAAUCAACAAGACAGGAAUAUCUCCCCUCACCAUUUCUAUCUAACAUUGUACUGGACAAUGAAUCCAGGGUAAAUACAGAAGACAAGAUUAAUCCUGGCUGGAAAGCAAGAGGUAAUACCAUGUAUAUUUACAUAAGACAUGUAAUCUAAGAGUUUCACUAAAAAAAAUGAUUAGAAACUUGCUAUGAGUUCAGCAAAUUUAAAGGCAUACCAUAUCAAUAAGUGAAAAUUAAUUUUGUUUUUGAAACCCAGCACUCAACAAUGAAAAUUUAAAUAAGAAAACGAUUGCAUUUAUACUAGGAAGACAUUUCUGGGGAGGUGCAGGUCCAACCAGAAGAAAAGAAUCUGCACAUUCUCCAGUGAAGAAACAUCACUAAUGCAGAUCAGGAUGAUGAUAAUGAAAUGGAAGAGACACAGGCUCACUGAAGAAACUAAGGAAGAUGAAAUGAAGGAUGAACAAGUUCCUCUCAUUUUCAUUCAACUGUUAAUUUGAUUGAUAGCCUAAUCAACAUGAUAGAUCUGAUUUAUUCCUAUUUUAUAUUAUCUGUUGGUUGAUUUCUAUUUUUUUAUAGGCCAGCACUUAAAAAAUAAAAUCAAAUCAGUAUGUUUGCACACAUAACACACAUGAAAAAUGCACUCUGUGAAUCAAAAUAACCAUCUUCUACUAAUUUGUGGCCCCUACAUAAAAAAAAAACACUAAAUAUCAGCAAGAGAAAACAGUACUUAUUCUUGUCUUGCAUCUGGAAACUGCCUGUGAGAGCUAUGAGGAUCUUGACUUGGCUCAGCUGUGAGACUCUAAGCCUCAGAUUGUCAUCACUGGGAUAGCUGGUCAAAUUCUCCUCAUGAUAAUUACAGAGGUAUGAGAAGGCAAGUGUAGACAUAGAGGCUUCUUAAGGCUUAGAUUUGGAAGUGACACACUUUCAAGUCUGAUUAGAUUUCAUUCAUCAAUGCAAGCCACGCGGCUAAAGCCAAAGUCAAGGGGCAGACAUACGCUUGGAUUUUCCAUGGGAAAAAUGAAAAAGUUAACUGACAAAGGGUAGGGAAGAAUAAGAACAAUAGUGUCAAUAACUCAGUCUACCUCAGAAUACACAUAGAUAGCUAUAGUAAAAAUAAAAUCACAUACUUUUAAUAACAGUCACCCAAAUGUUUAAUUCAUUUAUGCUUAUUAUUUUUGAAUACUUAAGGUCCUAAAAUGUCCUUUUUCUAUACAGAAUUAUAUGAAAAUUUAGCCCAAAUGAUGUGACUAUGUCCCCAAAAACCCAACAUCCAAUAUUGGAACAGGGGUAUGAUAACCAUGAUAAACUCAUUCUAAAAGGAAAAACAAUAGCAAUUUUUUGUCACACAGGGUAUAUUCCUGAAUUGUUUAGUCUUACCUUAGGGUUCUUAAAAAAUUAUUCCUCAGUUCUAGUCUAUCAGUAGCAAUUCUGGAUCCAUUAUUUGUCAUAUUUACUGGUCCUAUCUAUUGAAGUGAAAAGGGGGACAUCUUCCUUUUUCAACAUCAUCCUCAGACACUUCAAGGUAAUACACAGGAUAAUUUAUCCAUUUUUAGAUAUUAAUCAACUUUAUCAGCCUGCUUCAUGCCUACAGAAACAGAAUGAUACUGUGAUCUUUAUUAUAUCAGUCUUUUUUCAUCUCUUUUAGUCUAGGUUGAUGGAAUCUUUAAUAAAUUUGUCAAAAACUAUGUAAAUUUCCUUUGCAUUGGAUUUCAUUCAAGUCUAAGACGAAGAAAAAAUCCACUUCAAAGAGUGAAUGAAUGGCAUUGCAGCAACAGGCUUACUUUAGUUAUGAGAAUUCAUUGGCAAUUUCCUGGACGUGGAAUUUAUCCCCAGCCUAUGAGAUAGUGAUUAGGCCCUUCAUGAAGAAACUGGAGAUGAUAACCUGUUUUAUUUCCACUGUGGCAAGUGCCUGAAUUUCUGGUCUCUCUAUUCCCUCAGUUUUGUUUGUACCUUACUUGUCUUGUUUGGGGGUUUUCAUCUCUCUAUUUUAAUACCUUAUUAAUUGUAGCUUACAGAGCUAGUUUAUGCUUUUAGUGUUUUGCCUGGAAAUACACUUUCUUAAGUUCAUAAUUUAUUGGGUACCCUUAUAUUUUCCAUGUUUCCACAGGAAAACAUAGUACCAAAACUUUCGUCAUUACAUAAGACAAGUCACCAUUUAUUAAGCUUUUUGGAAUGUAUACCUUAUGAAUGUGUACAGUCCCAAAGCAAAGAUCACAGCAUUAGUUUUGUGUUAAAGUAAAAAUAUAUAUUCAGUUCUAAAAUUAUAUAAAUCUGGGUUUCAUUAGGAAAAUGAAUCUACUAGCAGGGCCCUAAUACUGAAGAGUUUUAUAUAAGAAUAGGAAUUACGUGAACAGCCUAGGAAACAUACACACAUGGAAAGCUACUAAGUCACCACUUGACUUUGAAAAACUGGUAUGGGUGGAAAAACUGGAAUCACAGUAUUAUCUGAGAAGGUGUUUGCAUUAGAUACCCAGGGUGAAACUAAAUCAUAAGAACUAAUGGAAAUGUCUGUGACAUUGCCGCAUAAGGAAAAUCUCCACUGUCUAAUGAAAUCACAUCAGACCCCAAGAAAUAAUGUUCUCCAUUUUAAUUUCAUUAUACCAAUUUGAAUGAGGUUCACAUCCUUGUAAAAUUCUAAUCUGGGAUAAUAAAAUGAAGGGGAUUCUGGGAAACAUGGUAUGCAACUCCUAUUCUUUUUUUGGGGGGAGAGUGUACCCAAGGCAUAUGGAGGUUCCCAGGCUAGAGGUCGAAUUGGCGCUGUAGCUGCUGGCCUAUACCACAGCCACAGCAACACCAGAUCUGAGCUGUGUCUGUGACCUACACCACAGCUCACAGCCACACUGGAUCCUUAACCCACUGAGCAAGGCUAGAGAUCGAACCUGCAUCCUCAUGAAUACUAGUCAGAUUCAUUUCUGCUGAGCCAUGACGGGAACUCCAACAUGCAGCUCUUAGAUACGAGUGGUGGGAGGGAUCACAAGGGGACAGUAGAGGAUCUUGAACACGUCCCUUGAAAUUGACUGGGUGAAAACCUGUGUUUGAACUAAUUAUGAUCAAUUAUGUAAUAUUUUACCUAUGAAAACCGAUAACCUCACUUUGAUAAUUAAUCCCAAACUACUUUCUCUUAUGUAGUUGUAAUCUCAAAGACAUUUUAAAUCAGCUCUGGGUCAAGUUCUGACUCUGGUGUUUAUGUUCUGAAUGAUACUGCCUUUCUGAAAAGAUGAUUGUUUCAUAAGAAGAGAACGUUUUAAAUAAAAAUAUAGGAAAUAUGAUUUUAAACUGGAAAACAUAAUUUCAAACUUAAAAAAUGUAAAUUUAUGAAAAAGAUAUGUUUGUUCUUUGAUAGCUGCAGCACCUAAAUUACAAACACUUUCAAUUCCCAUGUGUACCUACCAUGUGUACAAUAUAGCUGGCAAAUGGAAAAACAGAAAACAAUAUGAUGGAUUCUGAGAAAGCCACUGCAAAAGUAGAAAUCCAGAGUAGAGAUGCCAAAUGCAGGUAAUAUGAAUAAAUACCAAAAUUGAAAAUUCCUCCAGACUUUCUCCAGUCUUAAUUAGUUUUGACGUUUUUUUAAUACUGCCAAUGGUCUCAAGAAGAGAUAUUUAUCUCAAUUCCCUAAUGUGAAGAAACUGAUGACACAAAUUUCCCAUCCUGCCUUCUUGAUUUAAACCUGAUGUCCUGGCCUUGUAAUGGUAAAAGCAGAUUCAUUUAUUUAGUGUGGCUCAGAUUUUCUCUCCGUUGGAGCAGAAAAGUUGGAACAAGAGGUAUGUGCUCUAAAUGCUGUGUUUUUCUUUUUGCUAGAGUGUUCCUUGUUAACUUGUCUCUUCAGAAUUUUAUAAAAUUGCAAAGAAAAAAAUGGCCAAAGAUGUUGCACUACCAUUGCUGUUGAUUAGGUAACUCUGACUUUAGGGGUUUUUUUUAACCUAGCUAUACUACAUUAUACUUUGCUUCAUAUUGCCAUGUGUCUUAGUUAAUAUAUGAUUCUUUCUCUACAAAUUUCUCUAACCUGGUGUGCAGCAAUUCUGAGGCUGACCAGACCUCAGUCAGUCAUGGAACUCCUGAACUUUUCAUAAGACAGAAUUGAACUCUGUUCUUAAAUAAUUUUAGGACAAUUGUGUCAAAUAUAACUCAACCAAUUCAAAUAGGAAAUGAAAAAUUGAAAUAUUCAGGCAAAGCAGUUCUUAAGCAAAAUUGAUAAUAUGUAGAAGGAAGAAUGUUACUACUUUUUUUAAGUAAACUGGGAUGCAGUACUUGUGAGAUCACUAUGCUGGAUUGUAAUGAUGGAACUUUAUGUUUGGUUUAACCCAACUGCUCAAUAUACUCAUUUGUCUCCAUUCAUUCAUUCACUGUACUUGGACUGUUUAAUGUUUUAGAUUACUUGGGGGAAUAAAUGGCAUCCGCAAAAGGAAAAUAAAUAAUUAUUUAAAAUGUUUUUCAACUAAGUACUUGCUAAGUAGGAUAUCCGUGCUUUUUUUAAUUUCUUUCAAAGACAAUUUCUCUGAAUAAAAAUUAAUACAAUAAAUGCUUUAGACUUAACUUUGAAGUUGUGAGGGUGACGAGCAGGCAUACCACUGACCUUCUGUCCUAUACAGGGAUGUUCCCUGAGUUUUUUCCUCUCUCGUACAGGGUGUGCACACCUCUUGUCAUCCUACUUUGUACAAAGUCUGCAAUUUCCUUCUAUGUGCUAGAUUGGCACUGCCCCUGCCCUGCAUCGGUCUGCAGCCUGCAUUCCUUUUUGCCCUGUACAAGGUCUGCACUCCACCUGACCUCCUCCCUUGCGCUAGAUCUGCAAUCUUUCUGCCCUCCUUAGACUGCACAAGGUCUGCACCUUGAGUACUUGCCUAUCCUGC
rnacentral:lncRNA from 1 species